rnacentral:ncRNA from 1 species
AUCUUCAUGGAUUAAAAGGGAAUCGGGUGAAAAUCCCGGACAGUCCCGCUGCUGUGAAACUCCAUCCAACGUCUCGACAAAUACUCUUUACCACUGGUUCGGCAGAACCGGGAAGGUGUCAAGACGGGAGUCAGUCAGAAGACCUGCCGUUCAUUAA